rnacentral:rRNA from 1 species
UAGGGAAUCUUCCACAAUGGGCGCAGCNGAUGGAGCAACGCCGCGUGAGUGAAGAAGGUCUUCGGAUCGUAAAACUCUGUUGUUAGAGAAGAACAUGCGAGAGAGUAACUGUUCUUGUAUUGACGGUAUCUAACCAGAAAGCCACGGCUAACUACGUGCCAA